rnacentral:rRNA from 1 species
CGCUGGCGGCAGGCCUAACACAUGCAAGUCGAACGGAUCCUUUCGGGAUUAGUGGCGGACGGGUGAGUAACACGUGGGAACGUGCCCUUUGGUUCGGAACAACUCAGGGAAACUUGAGCUAAUACCGGAUAAGCCUUUCGAGGGAAAGAUUUAUCGCCAUUGGAGCGGCCCGCGUAGGAUUAGCUAGUUGGUGGGGUAAAGGCCCACCAAGGCUACGAUCCUUAGCUGGUCUGAGAGGAUGAUCAGCCACAUUGGGACUGAGACACGGCCCAAACUCCUACGGGAGGCAGCAGUAAGGAAUAUUGGUCAAUGGGCGGAAGCCUGAACCAGCCAUGCCGCGUGCAGGAAGACGGCCCUACGGGUUGUAAACUGCUUUUGUACCAGAAUAAACCUUUGUUCGUGAACAAAGCUGAAUGUAUGGUAAGAAUAAGGAUCGGCUAACUCCGUGCCAGCAGCCGCGGUAAUACGGAGGGAGCUAGCGUUGUUCGGAAUUACUGGGCGUAAAGCGUACGUAGGCGGUUAUUCAAGUCAGAGGUGAAAGCCCGGGGCUCAACCCCGGAACGGCCUUUGAAAUUAGGUAGCUAGAAUCUUGGAGAGGUCAGUGGAAUUCCGAGUGUAGAGGUGAAAUUCGUAGAUAUUCGGAAGAACACCAGUGGCGAAGGCGACUGACUGGACAAGUAUUGACGCUGAGGUACGAAAGCGUGGGGAGCAAACAGGAUUAGAUACCCUGGUAGUCCACGCCGUAAACGAUGAUAACUAGCUGUCCGGGCACUUGGUGCCUGGGUGGCGCAACUCACGCAAAAACUUAUCCGCCUGGGGAGUACGGUC